rnacentral:rRNA from 1 species
UACAGAGGGGGCAAGCGUUGUUCGGAAUUACUGGGCGUAAAGGGCGCGUAGGCGGCCUGCUAAGUCGAACGUGAAAUCCCCGGGCUCAACCUGGGAAUUGCGAUGGAGACUGCAAGGCUAGAAUCUGGCAGAGGGGGGUAGAAUUCCACGUGUAGCAGUGAAAUGCGUAGAGAUGUGGAGGAACACCGAUGGCGAAGGCAGCCCCCUGGGUCAAGAUUGACGCUCAUGCACGAAAGCGUGGGGAGCAAACAGG